rnacentral:rRNA from 1 species
UACGAAGGGGGCUAGCGUUGCUCGGAAUUACUGGGCGUAAAGGGCGCGUAGGCGGCACUGUUAGUCAGGCGUGAAAUUCCUGGGCUCAACCUGGGGACUGCGCUUGAUACGGCAGAGCUAGAGGAUGGAAGAGGCUCGCGGAAUUCCCAGUGUAGAGGUGAAAAUUCGUAGAUAUUGGGAAGAACACCGGUGGAGAAGGCGGCGAGCUGGUCCAUUACUGACGCUGAGGCGCGACAGCGUGGGGAGCAAACAGG